UACGUAGGGGUGCAAGCGUUGUCCGGAAUUAUUGGGCGUAAAGAGCUCGUAGGCGGUCUGUCGCGUCGGCUGUGAAACUCGGGCUCAACUCCGAGCUUGCAGGUCGAUACGGGCCAGGCUAGAGUUCGGCAGGGGAGACUGGAAUCCUGGUGUGCGGUGAAAUGCGCAGAUAUCAGGAGGAACACCGGUGGCGAAGGCGGUCUCUGGCCGAUACUGACGCUGAGGAGCGAAGCGUGGGAGCGAACAGG
rnacentral:rRNA from 1 species